GAGGUGGGGCGCUCGUUUCUCCCGCGGGUCCGCCGACCCCCGACCAAGCGCUGUGCUCGGAGUCCCGGGGCCGAGGCUCCAACAAGCGCGACCCGGACGUUCCGGGAGAGUCACCGUCGGGCACUCACCGAGAGGCCUUGCGGGGGUAGGGGGUGCGCCGAGGGUGGGGCUGCUUCUGCACCGACGGGCUGGCGCGGGGUGCGGGGGAUGCGCGGGGCCCCCGGGAUGCGCGCGGUCCCGGGAUGCGCGGAGUCCAUGGGAUGUGCGGGGUCCCUGAGGCGCCUGGCCCGGGUGCGGCCGGGAGCGGCCCCAUCGCAGACAGGCUCCGCAGGGGGCGCCGCGGGCGGGCGGGCUGAGCGCGCUGCUGGAGCCGUUUCCGAAUAAUCCUUUUAAACAUUUGCUCGCUCGUGACUUUAACAGAGAUGCUGAUCCGGGAGUGGUGGCGGGUGGAGAGGCUUGGAGGAAGGACCAGCCUCUCUGAAGGCCGCCGGGGAGGCGUCGGGUUUGCACCCAGUCGGCGGACAGAGGGUCCCCUGGGGCCUUCCUUGGAGGCGGUGGGGCAUCCACGGCGGGGCAGCCUUCCCGGGGGCCUGGCCUCCUCCCCAGACGGCCCAGGACAAAGUGUCUUCUCCCCACACCUGCUGUUACUUCUGCAAAGUCCGUCUUUCUCCGCCUGGUUCCGUUCUGGUCAUGUUUUGUGCCCGUAGACGGGCCCCAGGACCACCGGACACCCCAACUGCAGGCCACGUGCCCGGGUCCAGAGGUGGGGCUGGCCUUGCAGUAGGGCUCGGCGCACAGUGGGCACUGAAGGGUAACUCUUGUUAUUAUUAUUACAGGAAGUUGAUAGCUUACAACAUUCUUCAGUUGAGAAGCUGCAGGAGAAAAACUAUGCCCUUUCCCCAGAACUUGAAAGGAAAAAAAAAUCUUUACUGAAGUACUAGCUGUUGUUCCAGAGCCUGUCUGGAUACACUUGAGCUUGUUCCUCUGUGUGAAAAACAGUACGUUUUGACUUAAGCUGGUGGGUAGUUAAGCAGCUUCAUGCCUCCACGUCUUGAAAGCCUUGUAUGUGUUGGUCGGGCGCAUUCAUGAUUUUGUUCCCCACUGUGUGUGCAAGAAGGAACGAGGUUUUCUCUUUGGCAACGUGAGAUGGAUUCCUGUGCGUGACAUUUCCAGUGACUCGGGGGAGCGUCAACCAAGAAAGAAAUGGGUUGAUUUUGUAACUGAAAUCUCAACUCUGCGGUAGAUCCCAGAAGCCCUCAAAUCUAGUCUGGUGAUGUGGACCAGAAGCUUCUCCAUCCUAUUGAAUUGAAUCUCUGAGAUAAUCAUGUGGUCAAGCUUUCAGUCAACACACAACAAAGAGCCACAGCUACACAGUGACGCUGUGAUGAGGGGCUGAUGGACCACAUGUUGGUGACCUGCAGGGAACCAGGAGCAGGAAGCAAAACAGAUUCUAAAGAGCUUUUUUUAAUCAGACAUAGUAGAAAGUAAUUAAUUACAUUUUGGAGUUAAGAUUUUUAAAUAAUAGCUUUCUGGACAAUUCUCAUUCUUUUUGGUAAAUAUUCUGCUUUAGAUUUAAAAAAAUAUUUUGGGUAAGAUUAUUUUGUAAAAGCAGUAAAGAAUAUUAAAUUGUUAUAAUAAAGGGGAAACAUUUUAAUACAACAAAUAUAUCUGAAACCUCACCCUCUUGGCAUAUCAAUAUUUCCUCCAUCUGGUCCUUAUGCAUAUGUUCAUGUGAUUUGUAUAUAAAUACAAUUACAUUUAUAUUCUACCUUGGCAUUGAUAGAUCAUAAGUAUUUUUAAUGUAGUUCCCCUGAGCAAUUUUGUGUGUGUGUGUGUGGUACGCGGGCCUCUCACUAUCGUGGCCUCUCCCGUUGCGGAGCACAGGCUCCGGAUGCGCAGGCUCAGCGGCCAUGGCUCACGGGCCCAGCCGCUCCGCGGCAUGUGGGAUCCUCCCGGACCGGGGCACGAACCCGCGUCCCCUGCAUCGGCAGGCGGACUCUCAACCACUGCGCCACCAGGGAAGCCCUCAAAGCUUUAUUUAAAUGGGACCCACAGAUGGUUUUUAAAUAGGUGAGUGACUUCAAAAUGGAGCUUUAAAAUAUUAAUAUGAGUGGUUUUGUUCAGGAUGGGCUGAACUGGGCCCAGUCUGCAGGCAGAGAACGCAGUCCGAUGGCCAGGGAGCAGGUGGUAGGAAUAAACGUGAGAGUUGCCAGGCAGGGGAACUGGGGCGGAAGCGCGGGCGGGAUGUGGGAUUGAAGGGGACGGGAGCUGGCGGUCGUUCUCAGGUUCUGAAGGAGGGCCGUGGCGAGCAGCACACAGCCCGGGCAGACCUUUCAUCAGCUUUGCUUGCGCUGUCGGGAUCCAGGUGUGACCCUGAAAAGCAAGGGCACCUCCGUGAUGACAGACUAGGCAUGGACGGGAUCUCAGGAGAACCCUAAAGGGAAGAGAGCAAAGGACAGGGACUCUGGGAAUGGCCACAUUUAAGGAGAAGACAGAGAAGAACAAAUAGGGCACGUCCAGGAGCUAGGCGGGCGGGGCUGAAGAGGGUCCCGGGCAUCAGAUGCACUGGGGCCGACAGGGAUGCUGAGUUAAGAACACAGACCAGGAGCUUGGGAAGAGGAGGCCACCCCCAUCUGAGGACUUCGCUGGUGAAGGGAGUGGAGAUCAGAGCCCAGCCUCCCUCCGGAGGCCGCCCUGGAAGCAGGCACUGCAACUGUCAGAGGGCAAUGUGUUCCCACUCACUGGCCUCUGAGAGGCUCUGUGAGGGCAGACUCAGCCCACUGGCCCUUUCCCAUCCACACCGUCUCGUCAUGAGCUUAUGCCUGGCCUCUGAUGCGGUGAAGGUUCCUCUCCUUACGUGAGGAGGCUUCCGUCCACGGGAGGUGAAGUGUCCUCGUCACAAGAAUGUCUGAGAACAGGUUUAACAGAUCGGUAGACUGGAAGAUUUACCCCGACUGAAGAGAAUUUAACAGGAUCUGAGUUAAAAAGAAAACAAGACUCAAACGUCAACAUCUAAGCCAAGAGACAAAGGCAGGGAGCAGGGCGUUUAGUCUCCACGGCUGGCGGGUGUUACUGCCAGGGUCUGUCUGCCUCUGCAGAUUGGAGCAAUUUCCUCUCCCUCCACCCUCAUCCCCACACCAGCCGGCAUCGGGCAACCUAAUCCAAAUGCCACAUGCCAAGCCUACUGACAGAUUCAAAGGACUUCAAGGCUGGAGGGGCCCCUCGAGGUGACUGCCAGCUGAGAACCAGGGCCUGGCAAAGCUGCUGCCUGCAGGCCAGGUCCUGCCCCGGCCUCUGGGGGGUUUCCUGGUGUGCGGGGACGCCAGGGGCUCACACAGUCUGGCUGCUCUCGAGCAGCAACAGCAGAACUGAGCAGUUGCACCGGAGACCGUCUGGCUUGAAAAUCUAAACUCUUUACUACCCAGCCCUUUACGGAAAAUUUGAGGAACCUGGCGGAUAUGGCUGGCUACCUAGCUGGCUGGCUCCUAUCGUGAGCAGACGGACCUUCCUCUUUCAACCUGGGCGAAUUGUGAUGCUUGAAAAAAGAACCAGGAAUAAUUUUUAGAAGUCAGAGUUUUCCAUUAAGUGGCUUGGCCGGAUUCCAGAGUUUCUAUUCAUGGACGGUAGAGCAGGACCGGGCACAUGUCGCGCACACAAUCCUCAGACCUCACUUUUGUUUCUGCUCAAUCCCUUGUCCUUUGAACCAGCACAAUAAAAGUGCUUCAAUAAGCAGGGUCAAGUAGGAUGGACUAGAGAGAAAUGUGAACACGAGAUUACGGCUGCGAUUAGAGGCCGAAUGCCCUCAGCCACACAGCAUGAACCGAGAGCACCUUUAUUAUGAACAGCUGUCUGGCUGCUAUAGAACAGACGGCAACCGCAUUUUAAACUGUUUUGUCUGAGUGAAUGAAGCAUGGUCAUUUUGGAGAACAGGGAAGCAAAGUUUUAAAAGAGCUGAAAAGCUUUUCAAAUGCCCGUAUUUUCUAUGUUCCCGAGGGACUUUGGUCACUUCAGUUCCUACGUGGGAUGUGAAGUGGUCCCACAUCAGGGGGGCUCUGAUCUCCCCUCCCUUCACCAGCAAAGUCCUCAGCCAGGGGCGGCCUCCCCUUCCCAAGCUCCUGGUCUGUGUUCUUCCACAAGUAUAGAAGCAUCAGCUCUUUUGGUUUGGGACUGAUGUGUAAAUGAGAAUCAGUUAACUUGGGAAGUGCGUCCACCGAGCCGUCCAGAGUUAGCUGGACAUCCUCUCCUUAGGUGAGGAGACUUCUGUCCACGGGAACUGCUGGUCUCUUUGGGAAGCAGGGGGGCAGAUACAUCAAAAGUCUCAAUGGAAUUUAUGUCUUUUGACCCAGCAAUUCCCCUUUGAAGAAUGUGUCCUGAAGAAACAGUGAUGUGGAAAAGAUUUAUGUACCACACGCACUAUUUAAAAUAGCCAAAAAUCGGAAAUAAUUUAAAUGUCCAGCAAUUGGAUUCUGCUUAAACAAAUUGUCAUACAUUUAUAUGGUGGAAUGUCAUGAAGCCUUUAAAAUUAUGAUUUAGAAGAAAAUGUAUUAACCUGGAAAAUGUUCAUAGUAUAUUAGGAAAAAAAUAUCAGAAUAAAUAUGAUCCCUUGGAAAAUAUCUCAAAGAAAAUAAAUCAAAACAUUAGCCAAGUUUAUCUCUGGGGGUGGGAUUUUAAGUGUCCUGUACAUUUUUCUUCAUGCUUUGGUGUUUGUACUUUCAGUAUCAUGUGUCUUGGUGUAGAUAUUUUUUCCUUGGACUUGAGAUCUAUUGGGCUUUUGAGUCUAUGGAUAGGAUCUUCGAUUAAUCCUGGCAAAUUCUCAGCUGUAAUCUUUUCAAAUAUUGUCUCUGCUCCUUCUCUGUUUCCUGUCCUCUGGUUACUGAUUAGACAUACCCUGGACCCUCUCUCUCUGUCCUCACGUCCUUGAACCUCUUUUUCAUUCUUCCCAUUUCUGUGGCUCUCCCUGCAACAUUCUAGUCAUUCCUUCAACUGUAUCUUUAGUGUUUCUUCAUCUGUGUGUUCAAUCUAUCCAUUGAGUCUUAAAUUUCAAAUAUCAUUAUUAUUUUUUAAAAUCUAGAACUUCUAUUUGGUCAUUAGUUAUAAUUUCUUGUUCUCUGCACAUAUUUUUAAUCUUGCCUUUAAUUCUUUUUUUUUUUUUUUUUUAAACAGCCCUUUAUUUAUUUAUUUAUUUAUUUUGCGGUACGCGGGCCUCUCACUGUCGCGGUCUCUCCCGUUGCGGAGCACAGGCUCCGGACGCGCAGGCUCAGCAGCCAUGGCUCAGGGCCCAGCCACUCCGGGGUAUGUGGGAUCUUCCCAGACCGGGGCGCGAACCCAUGUCCCCUGCAUUGGCAGGUGGACUCUCAACCACUGCGCCACCAGGGAAGCCCCCCUUUAAUUCUUUAGACAUAGUAAACAUAGUUCAAUUACAUUCUGUCUGAUAAUUCUAAAACCUAAAGUCCUUGUAGGUCUAUUUCUGCUGUCUGUUGUUUCUGUUUAUUCUCAAUCAUGGAGCCUCAUUUCUGUUUCUUUUUUUUUUUUUUAAUAUUUUAUUUUUUAAUUUUUUGGCCGAGUGGCUUGUGGGAUCUUAGUUCCCGGACCAGGGAUCAAACUCGCACCCUCAGCUGUGAAAGCGCCAAGUCCUAACCGCUGGACCGCCAGGGAAGUCCCUGGAGGCUCAUUUCUUUUGUGCCUGUAUGAGUUUUAUCUGUGAGCUCUGUAAGAGUAAAUUAAAAAAUGGAAUUUUCUGGUUGCUGAAAGUGAAAGAGAGUAUUACCUCUCCAGUUGCUACUCACUGGAAGAUCAUUUGUGGGUUUCUUAGAGAUGAAAGAUAAAGAAAAAUUCCUCCAGAGAGGAAGUGCAGGGGUUUUUUUCCCCCCGUUUGGAGAUGCCUUAAAUCCAGCUCUCAGUGUGAAGCGACUUUAUUGAACUAGGAACGUGUGUUUAGGCUGCAAAUCUGCAGUGAGAACUAGCGAUGGUUGUAAGUACCUGGGGCAGGAUACCCCGUCCCCUGGGCACCAAGGUUUAAAGCAGCAACGUUUCUUGCAGUCUUUGGAGCAGGGGAGGGACUUCUAAUUCUUUUCUUCUAAUUUUUUUUUUAGAACAUAAACCCUGCUUUUUUUAAAAAAAUUUAUUUAUUUUUGGCUGCAUUGGAUCUUCAUUGCUGCACGCAGGCUUUCUCUAGCUGCGGCGAGUGGGGGCUACUCUUCAUUGUGAUGCGCGGGCUUCUCAUUGCGGUGGCUUCUCUUGUUGCAGGGCACGGGCUCUAGGCGCGUGGGCUUCAGUAGUUGUGGCACACAUGCUCAGUAGUUGUGGCUCGUGGGCUCAGUAGUUGUGGCUCGCAGGCUCUAGAGCGCAGGCUUAGUAGUUGUGGCGCGCGGGCUUAGUUGCUCCGUGGCAUGUGGGAUCUUCCCGGACCAGGGCUUGAACCCGUGUCGCCUGCAUUGGCAGGCGGAUUCUUAACCACUGCGCCACCAGGGACGCCCCCUCUUCUUCUAACUGUUAAGCUGAGUGUGCGGUCCUCUGGGUGCCAGGCUCUGGGUGUCUGUCCACUCCUCGGAUGGACGUUACCCUUAACCCGAGUUCCUCCUAUGAGGUCAUGGAUACUGAGGCUCAGAUCAACCCUUGACCCCUUUCUUGUUUUUUUGUUUUUGUUUUUUGUGGUACGCGGGCCUCUCACUGUUGUGGCCUCUCCCGUUGCGGAGCACAGGCUCCGGACGCGCAGGCUCAGCGGCCAUGGCUCACGGGGCCAGCCGCUCCGCGGCAUGUGGGAUCCUCCCGGACCGGGGCACGAACCCGCGUCCCCUGCAAUGGCAGGCGGACUCUCAACCACUGCGCCACCAGGGAAGCCCCCUUGACCCCUUUCUUCCUCUCUGUUUUGCACCAUGAAUCCGACAGGACAUCACAGUGGCUUGUCUUUAGUUCUGUCUGGAGUCUGACCUCUUCUCACGACCCCCUUCCGCUGUCCCCUCUGGCCUCCCCUCUAGCCUCAUCACUGGCACUGCCGCUGAGCAUUUCCUCGGCCAUUUCUAUCCCCUGAUCCUGUGUUCGGCUGUGGACUCGCCGUAGCCAUGGGGGGUUGGCAGGUGUGGCACCAGCAGAGGCUGAGACACUUGCUGGCCUGUGUCCGCCACUCCCGCGGCCUUGAGCGUGGGCCCUGGUCCUCCUGUCGGCAGACGCCCUGCGUCAGCUAACGGCCAGCCACUGUCAACCUUCCUGCCACCCUGCAGGUGACCACGGUCCCGACCAACACUGACAGCCCGGCCCGGCCCAGCCGAAGCCCGCAGCAUAGAAAAGAAACUGUGUUUUCUGCAGAUGCCACGGCCUGUUAGGCAACGUAAAACGGAGACACGCAGGUUCCUGAAAGGUAACUUGGGAUUUUCCUUUUCCACUGAAUUAACUGCCAAAGAUAUAAUCAAGUAACUAACCCCUAAAAACAGCAUGUAAAGAAAUCUGAGAUCUCUGUGUAUAUUUCAUGAUUCCUCUAUUUUCAAUAAAAAUAUUUAUCUUCCAUGUUUAUUUAUUUGCCAAGAACUGGGCAGCUUUACCUGAAGCUCUCCUACUCUGUUGGUGGCUUUCCCACUCUAUUGUUUUCCUCUAUGGCCAUCUCCUUAAGAAGUUGAAUGUGCACUCACCCCACGACCCAGUGGUCAGACUCGCAGAACUGAAAUGUGUCUCCACGAAGGCUUGUGCACAAAUGUUCACAUCAGCCCCAAACAGCAAACCGUUUGUGAUGGUUAACUGUACGUGUCAACUUGACAGGACACGCACGGGGUGCCCAGGUAUCUGGCCAAACGUGAUCGCGGGUGUGUCUGGGAAGGUGUUUGAGGAUGAGAUGAGCAAUGGAGCUGCACGCCUCGCCUCCUGACGGUGGGCCCCAUUCGAGCAGCUGAAGGCCUGACCAGAAUGAAAAGACUGACCCCCCAUGGGGAAGAGCGAAUUCUCCUGCCCGACGGCUCUGCCGGGACACUGUGUUUCUCCUGCCUUUAGUCUCGGACUGAAUCAUUGGCUUCUCUUGGGUCUCAAACCUACUGGCCUUUGGACUGGAGUUUACGCGAUGGGCUCCCGAGGCCCCCAGCCUGUCGACCGCAGACCUCGGGGGUCAUCAGUCUCUACAGCCAUGGGAGGCAGUUCCUCAGCAUACACCCCCAUGCCGCCCAGAGGGUUCACUAGCGGGUGAAUGGACGAAUCCUGGAAUUCUCAGCAGUAAAAAGGCAUAAACUACCGAGAUAGCAACAACAGACAGGAAUCUUGAGAGCCCUGUGUGGAGUGAAAAAGACACAGAUGAGUUCAUACUGUGUUUCCAUUUGUGUGAAAUUCCAGAGAAGACGGGUCUGUGAUGCUGGAGGGCAGCCUGGCGGUGCUGGUGAAGGGGAGGUGACCUGAGGGGCACGGGGAGCCCGUGGGGUGACGGGCACGGCCCCAGUGGCAGUGGCACUUUGGCGCACGCAGGGCAAACGCGCGUUCUGUCUCAGCAGAGCUGGUUUUGCAGAAAGAAUCAGCCAGCCUGGCGGGAGUGACCUUCUCUGAAACCGUGUCCUUUGCUGCCCCAACCUGCAACACAGGACGUUUAGAUGGUCGGGCAGAAACCAAGUUGAGCCCAACCCAUCUGAAGCACAGGGGCUGGGGCGGGGGUGUUCCUCCUGCUACUGUCCCUUCCAGGUAGGCGGUGAUGCUGGCCCUGCCCAUCCCCCUGCCCCUCCCUCACCCCGUGGGGGACCUGAGGAGGCAGAGGCUGGGCUGGAACAGAACGUGGGGUGUCCCUGGCCCUCGGGCCUCCAGCCGGCCUCACCCUCAGUCUCACGAUGCCUGGAGGUCUGGGCCGAGCUGACUCCCACCUUCAACAUGAUCCAGAGGCCACAGAUCACUUCUCACCAGGGAAAGCUUCCCAAGACAGAGCGUAGAGGGCACGAAGAGCAAACGGAAGUCUCACGAGGCCUGGAACACAGGUGAACAGGGAGGAAACUGUUUCCACGUCAGCCGGACUUGCCAAACGGGUCAGUUCCAAAUGGGUGCGAGGAUUCUCAGCAGCUGUUCCGCGUCUCGUCCGAACCAGCCCCGUCUGACUAGUAGAGGCGGUCCUAGGAGAUCUGGUCGUGCAGCCCACGCUGGGUGGCGACUUUGCUGCUGUAGUUAAUUAGUUUCUUAACCACGCCUUCAGCCAUGUUACACCACUCCCCAGAUUUGAGAACUCAUUAAAAGAGAAACGCUGGAUCAUAGAAGCAAUAACCUGAAUUUUGUCCAAUGUACUGAGAAUUCAUUUUAAAUGGAAAUGUGUUUUCUUGCUGAGGACUUUGGGGGGUGCCUCGGGGUGCGAAGGAGCCAGUGCCUAGCUGACGUGCACGAUGUUCCCUGCAGGCUCAGAGCGCCCCUCUUGGUGCUGGAGAGAAGGUGCUCUGUGACCUGGGGCAGGUGCCUGGGCGUCUCUGUGCCUCAGCUUUUGCCCGUGAGAAGGAGGUGGCGAUGGGAGCCUCCCACACACACACAGGCCGCUGCCAAGGACGAGGGCAGAGAACACACCGGCUAUGAGGGGCAUGACUCAUACUUUGCUUUUGGUCUAAUUUGCAGCUUUUGCCUUUGACGACACUAUUUGCCUCGUGUGGUUGUUGUGAGGAUUAAAUGAGAUGAUUUAGGUAAACUGUCUGAUACGUUCAAUAAGUCAAAGUUAUUUAUUUCGGAAGUUUAUAGCUAAGGAUGUAACUGUAAAAAUUGUUAAUGUUGGAUGAUGCCUUUAAGCCUAAAGUUAGGUGUCAUUUGCCUGUUUUCAUUUGGAGGCGGCCUUUUCACGUGUUCUCUGGGUGUCGAUCUCACCACAACCGCAUGAAGUGAAAACGCUGACCCGAGGCAGCCACUAAUCUGCCUUCUGUCAGUGUCAGCGUCACAUCUUGUAUAUCGGAUAUUUAAUGUGUCCGUAAUCUUUAGGAGAAUCUGGCGUAUUAGGGAGUCUGACAAAAUAGGUUUGUCAUUUCUAUGUAAAGUGUAUAAUUAAGUGUAGACUUGUAAUUUUUUUUAACAUCUUUAUUGGAGUAUAAUUGCUUUACAGUGUUGGGUUAGUUUCUGCUGUAUAACAAAGUGAAUCAGCCAUAUGUAUACAUAUAUCCCCAUAUCCCCUCCCUCCCACCCUCCCUAUCCCACCCCUCUAGGUGGUCACAGAGCACCAAGCUGAUCUCCCUGUGCUAUGCGGCUGCUUCCCACUAGCUAUCUAUUUUACGUUUGGUAGUGUAUAUAUGUCCAUGCCACUCUCUCACUUCGUCCCAGCUUACCCUUCCCCCUCCCCGUGUCCUCAGGUCCAUUCUCUGCAUCUGUGUCUUUAUUCCUGUCCUGCCCCUAGGUUCUUCAGAACCUUUUUUUUUUUUAGAUUCCAUAUAUAUGCGUUAGCAUAUGGUAUUUGUUUUUCUCUUUCUGACUUACUUCACUCUGUAUGACGGACUCUAGGUCCAUCCACCUCACUACGAAUAACUCAGUUUCGUUUCUUUUUAUGGCUGAUAGACUUGUAAUUUUUAAAUUAAAAAGUUUAAGAGCAUUUGACAAAGUUUGUAAAUGCUAUUGGAACGUAUACAAGAAGUUGAAAGUUCCUGUACUUACAACUUUGAUUUAUUGGAUUUUUAACCAGUUGUUUAAGGUUGUCAUAAGUUUUUUUGAGUUGGGGAUAUAGAUUGCUUGCGCCCUUCAGACAUUUGAAAUAUUUAAGAAGAAAAAUGAAUAUAUUAAAUUUAUAAGUGCAGUUCAAAAUGUGGAGAAGAAUUUAAUUAAAUGGAUUGAUUUUUAA